GAUGAAGAACGCAGCGAAAUGCGAUAAGUAAUGCGAAUUGCAGAAUUCAGUGAAUCAUCGAAUCUUUGAACGCACAUUGCGCCCUCUGGUAUUCCGGGGGGCAUGCCUGUUCGAGCGUCAUUAUAACCACUCAAGCUCUCGCUUGGUAUUGGGGUUCGCGGUUUCGCGGCCCCUAAAAUCAGUGGCGGUGCCUGUCGGCUCUACGCGUAGUAAUACUUCUCGCGAUUGAGUUCGAUAGGUCUACUUGCCAGUAACCCCCAAUUUUUACAGGUUGACCUCGGAUCAGGUAGGGAUACCCGCUGAACUUAAGCAUAUCAAUAAGCGGAGGA
rnacentral:misc_RNA from 1 species